UUAUUUCAAAUUACAAAACAAUUAAUAACAAAGUAGAUAAAUUCAAAGUAAUUUGCAUUUAUGCAUAUAUAUAUUUAAAACUUAUUCGAGAUAUAUACCGUUUUCUACGCAUUAUGCUUUUUACACACAACACUCACACACAUUAUUAGCAUUCUGUCGAUUUGUAAAAUAUAUAGAAAAAUUGGAGGACUUAAUUUUAUUAGUAGUUGAAGAGAACGUGGUGAUAAUUACACAGUUAAUUUGUUUAGCCGCGAAUCAUGGUAAAAAAUCGCGUGAAAUUGCAAAAAUGUCAACGACCAGUGUUGUUUCGUUUAUCUUUUUUCAUGCGAUAUCAGCGCAUGUCGACAAUAUGCUCAUGCAGAUGCACAAUUACAUCACGAUAAUCUUUGUAAACCGACAAUUACAUGAAUAAUGUGAAUAGACAUUGAGAAUGAACAUUUCAUCCGCUUUCAUCGGUUUGUUUAUUGAGUUUGUUAAGUUUAGGAUAAUGGAAAAAUCAGAUGAAGAAGUCUUGUUUAACGGAUGUAAUAAAAUUUUUUUUCUAACCUAGAGAAAUAAAAAAAUUAAUGUUUAAUAGUUUAAAGGUAUUAUAAAUAUCAAGAAUAUCUGAUGUUGCACAUUUUUCAAUCGAUUGUUCUUUAAUAAUAAUGACAUACAAAAGAAAGAGCAAAGAAUUUUCCAUAAUCGCAUAAAAGGAAAUGAUGCAUUCAUCGACUUAGAAUAUAUCCAAUAGCAAAAGAAGAAUUCCCAAUUUCAUCAGGUCGCACAGCUACAUCUACAGAUAUCUAAGAGGUAACGAGGAGUCAUUCUGACGCAAUAGGGAGACAACGCGAGUCACGAUCGGUCAAGAGAGUUUCCUAUUGAAAUACCGCUGAUGGACGAAAUUGCAUUUCCGCAACUAUCAUUUUUUUGAUCGUGAUACUUUGUCUCCAUCAAUAAGAAAAAUUAGCUAUAAGAUAUUUAUUCAUUCAUUCAAAAAUAUUGAAUGAAACAGGUGAGAAGAAUGUGAAAUGAAAGUCAAUAGAAGAUAAAAAAGUAUAUGGUGAUAAUUUUUUGUGAUUCUUCAUCAUUUUACCUUGACUAAGAGCUGUAGCUUUCUCUGUACAUUUUUAUUAUCCUUGCAAUAAUAGGAAGAAUUCUGUACUUGAACUAGAGAAAACAAAAUGUAUAUAUUUAAAAUUUUUUAUAUGUUUAUUAU
rnacentral:lncRNA from 1 species